rnacentral:lncRNA from 1 species
UUGAUUAGAGAAGAAAGUCCCUAAAAGGAUUUUCGCCGACAAAGCUUUGUUUGCCCUUUAUCACUUCCUAAAGUUGCAAACAUUUUUACUGUAUAUCUCUGAAAAUAUUGAUUUUAGAGAAAAAAGUUUCAAACAAAAAAUGAAGUUCAUAAAAAGCUCUACAAAAAAGGUUAUGUCCAUUUUUUACGUAAACCUAUUAUUUUGGCUAUCAUGAAGAAAAAAAGCUUUUUUUCUCUCAACAUUUUAAAAGCUUUCAUUAUGUAUCUCAGAAAAGAUUAGCGUAAAAAAUAGGUAUAGAAAAUGCGUACUAUAAAGACACACACACGCGCGCGCGCGCGCGCAGGGGGAUGCAAGGAGGGCCUUUGGCUCUUUCCCUCCCGUAUCCCGCUAAUAGAGAUACCCUGAACAGAAAUGCGCAAAAUUCAAAUGAAUACGUAUAUAAUAAGAAUCUCGUUUCAAAUGCGCACAGACCAAAUACGCACAGUGCGAAACGGACACAGUCGCAAACCCAUGUGGUGCAGAGAAUGCUUUGCACACACACACACACACACACGGGGGGGUGCAAGGAGGAGCUUCGCCCCCCUCCCGCACCCAUCCCGUCGGUAGGGGUGCUCUGAAAAGUUGCAACCCAUGUGAUAAGUUCGUGCGCAUUUGAUCCGUGCGCAUUUGUUACUGUAAUCCUAACUUUAAUCCAAUCAAUUUUAAGUCAUUAUUUAAGUUUAUGAAUAUCCAAUUGACCAUGUUACAAUGUCAAUUGGAUAUACAUAAACCAAGAGAGUGCCUACAAUAGACCCAUCCACGCGCGUGUGUUUAUACGAGUAAAAUCCUGUUAAUCCAAAAUUAAAAUUAUUUUAUUUCAUAACAGUUAUUAUAAUUGCCAAAAUAAUAGGUUUACGUAAAAAAUAUAUACAGUAAAAAUGUUUGCAACUUUAGGAAAUGAUAAAGGGCAAAUAAAGCUUUGUCAGUGAAAAUCCUUUUAGGGACUUUCUUCUCUAAUCAAGGGUAAGCUUUGGUUAAAAUUUCAGCGCGAUUGGAGGUUUCACCUUUUCGGAAGUACACCCAAAAGUUCCAAUAAAACAUAUACUAACAAUGAAAUAAUUAACUUCGAAUAAUAUAUAACAUUUAUAUAUUAAACUGUCACUUUUAAUUUCUUUGAUAAUAUUUAAUAAGAAAUAAGAUAUAAGUAUUUCAAAAACAAAUACGUAACAUAACAAAAAAUUAACCUUUAAAUAAACAGUUGUUUUCAUCAACACAAAUACUUUCCGUCUCAAUAUUCAUGUUUGCAAAGCAUGAAUGUUUAAAUAAAUCAAAAUUUUCUUUUGGCAGUUUAAAAUGACAGUAUGAACACUGAUAAUACUGUAACAAAAAACAAUUAACAUUAUACUUAACCUCUAAUUGUUAAACUAAGAAAACAAUACAUAUAAAUAUUUAAGAUUUUAUAGACUUACAAAAUCUUUUUGUUCUUUACUUACUUCACUAUUUUUAAUAUAAAAUUCCAUUAUUCAUAUAUAAUUUUUUAAUUUAAUACGUAGUAAAAACAAUCUUUAUUAUAAUAAAAACACCUUAGCUUGCAUGAUAGAAAAUGCAGAAUAGCUCGGAUUGGUUGCUUCUAUGACGCACUUUCUAUUCCGCAGCUCUAUUCCGCACUGUGAUUUCAGCCUUACAAUAAUCCACCAACAAAAAAAA